GUGGUAACCGAGCAGAGCACGUGAGCUUGGGCAACACUAUACGGCAAAGGCAUACAACAGCUUCUGUGACAAGCUCUCUGCCCACCUAACGACAACUACAGUACCGGUUGUGGAGAAUAUGUGGAUAGAGGGAGGGGUGGGAGAUGAGCAGGACCCCCCUGGGCGCUACUUUCACAGUAACACUACAACCCCACACGAUGGGCCCGCCCGGGCUGAAGACCACCGGGGAAGCAAUCCCGGAGCAUCGGCCACCAACGCUGAGGAUCCAAAGCUGUCCCCUGCAGGGGAAGAACUCGGCCUCCCACGUGAGCUACCAGGUUCGCAGCCAAGAGGUGCAGGCCUUCAUGACAGCCUGGGGCUAUGGGGAGGACUUGCUUAGAACCUGCUUCUUGUCACUACACUACCCCCUAAGCCUGAAGCCGAGCCGGGGCAUAGGCUGAGCCCGGACUUUACACCUCAAACGCACAGAAAGCUGCGAGACUGCCCACAAGCUGGAAUAUUUACGUGACAACGACAUACCUGCCUGUCUUUCCACUCCUGCGCAUGAUACCACUCACGGAGAGCACGGAUACCUGUGAUGUAGUGAC